rnacentral:tRNA from 1 species
GGAGACGUGGCUGAGUGGUCUAAAGCGGCUCCUUGCUAAGGAGUUGACCGGGUUAAACUGGUCCGGAGGUUCGAAUCCUCCCGUCUCCG